GUGCCCCAGGCGAGCAGUCCCGUUAAGUGGAGGAGCAAGGCCAUGGCGGUGAGCGAAAGGAGGCUGCUGGCAGCGAUGCUAGCGGUCGCCGCCGCCGCCGCCUUACGGGUUGCGGCGGAGUCUGAGCCGGGAUGGGACGUGGCAGCCCCUGACCUGCUUUACGCAGAGGGGACCGCGGCCUACUCGCGCGGGGACUGGCCCGGGGUGGUCCUGAACAUGGAGCGGGCGCUGCGCUCGCGGGCGGCCCUGCGUGCCCUCCGCCUGCGCUGCCGCACACGCUGUGCCACCGAACUGCCGUGGGCACCGGACCUGGAUCUCGGUCCGGACCCCAGCCUGAGCCAGGACCCGGGCGCCGCCGCCCUGCACGACCUGCGCUUCUUCGGAGCCGUGCUGCGCCGUGCCGCCUGCCUACGCCGCUGCCUCGGGCCGCCCUCUGCCCACUUGCUGAGUGAAGAACUGGACCUGGAGUUCAACAAGCGGAGCCCGUACAACUACCUGCAGGUCGCCUAUUUCAAGAUAAACAAGCUGGAGAAAGCUGUGGCUGCGGCACACACCUUCUUUGUGGGCAAUCCUGAGCACAUGGAGAUGCGGCAGAACCUCGACUAUUACCAAACCAUGUCUGGGGUGAAGGAGGCAGACUUCAGGGAUCUCGAGGCCAAGCCCCAUAUGCAUGAGUUUCGGCUGGGGGUACGACUCUACUCAGAGGAGAAGCCACAGGAAGCUGUGCCCCACCUGGAGGCGGCACUGCAAGAGUACUUUGUGGCCGAUGAGGAAUGCCGUGCCCUCUGCGAAGGGCCCUAUGACUACGACGGCUACAACUACCUAGACUACAGCGCUGACCUCUUCCAGGCCAUCACAGAUCAUUACGUCCAGGUCCUCAACUGUAAGCAGAACUGUGUCACGGAGCUGGCUUCCCACCCAAGUAGGGAAAAGCCCUUUGAAGACUUCCUCCCUUCACACUAUAAUUACCUACAGUUUGCCUACUACAACAUUGGGAACUAUACACAAGCUAUUGAAUGUGCCAAGACCUACCUCCUCUUCUUUCCCAAUGAUGAGGUGAUGCACCAGAAUCUGGCUUAUUACACAGCCAUGCUUGGAGAAGAAGAGGCCAGCUCCAUCAGCCCCAGGGAGGGGACCCAGGGAAAAGAUGUGACCCUGGAAGGGACUCAGUUUCCCAGCUCUGGAAUGCCGAGGAAUACCGACGUCGAAGCCUGUUGGAGAAAGAACUGCUUUUCUUCGCUUAUGACAUUUUUGGAAUUCCCUUUGUGGAUCCGGACUCAUGGACUCCAGAAGAGGUGAUUCCCAAGAGACUGCAGGAGAAACAGAAGUCGGAACGCGAAACCGCAGUCCGCAUCUCCCAGGAGAUUGGCAACCUUAUGAAGGAGAUCGAGACCCUCGUGGAGGAGAAGACCAAGGAGUCCUUGGAUGUGAGCCGACUGACGCGGGAAGGUGGUCCCCUGCUGUAUGAAGGCAUCAGUCUCACCAUGAAUUCCAAAGUCUUGAAUGGCUCCCAGCGGGUGGUGAUGGAUGGUGUGAUCUCUGAUGAUGAGUGCCAGGAGCUGCAGAGACUGACCAAUGCGGCAGCAACUUCGGGAGAUGGCUACCGAGGUCAGACCUCCCCACACACCCCAAAUGAAAAGUUCUAUGGUGUUACUGUCCUCAAAGCUCUCAAGCUCGGGCAGGAAGGAAAAGUUCCUCUGCAGAGUGCCCGCAUGUACUACAACGUGACAGAGAAGGUGCGGCGCGUCAUGGAGUCCUACUUCCGCCUGGACACGCCCCUCUAUUUCUCUUAUUCCCACCUCGUGUGCCGCACUGCAAUAGAAGAGUCACAGGCUGAGAGGAAGGACAGUAGCCACCCCGUCCACGUGGAUAACUGCAUCCUGAAUGCCGAAGCCCUCAUGUGUAUCAAGGAGCCCCCAGCCUACACGUUCCGGGACUACAGCGCCAUCCUUUACCUCAAUGGCGACUUCGAUGGAGGAAACUUUUACUUCACAGAACUAGAUGCCAAGACUGUGACGGCAGAGGUGCAGCCCCAGUGUGGAAGGGCUGUGGGAUUCUCUUCUGGCACUGAGAACCCACAUGGAGUGAAGGCUGUCACCAGGGGGCAGCGCUGCGCCAUCGCCCUGUGGUUCACGCUGGAUCCUCGGCACAGUGAGAGAGACAGGGUGCAGGCAGAUGACCUGGUGAAGAUGCUGUUCAGCCCAGAAGAGGUGGACCUCCCCCAGGAACAGCCCCUGCCUGACCAGCAGGGCUCGCCAGAGCCUGGAGAAGAGUCUCUGUCAGACAGAGGGUCGCUGCACAAGGAUGAGCUAUGACAACAGCUAGGUCACAGUUGGGUGUCCUUGGACUCAUGAGGGUGACUCAGUCCUUCAGCCUGGACUUCCCGGCCCCUCAAGGCUGCAGAGUGAGAGGCGCUUCUGUUGGCCCCCCGGCCAGAGGAUCCUGUCCACAGCCUUCUGCAUGGUGCUACUGUUCUUGGAGUGGGCAUAGCAGGACACACUCUUCUCUGGGCUUGGCUGUAGGCUCAGAAUGCAGGCCCAGAACCACCCUGGGGCCUAUGUAGGCAGCUGCCGUCAGCAGCGUGAUAUAUUUAAGUGUCUGUAAAGACAACCAAAGAAUAAAUGAUUUGUGUUUUUUUCACUUAGUGGUUUGUUCCAAGAGAGAAAAUAUUUCUACUCUUCCUGGGACGCUGAGCUUGGUAGCAGCUCCUCUAGGUAGUGUGCCGUGGCACAUGCCACAUGGGAAUUCCUCUGUAGCCUCAGGCCAGAUAACCCAGGUACCUUGGGCUGUUACCAUAGAAGGGGCAUCUUGGUCCUCACUGCCUACCUUCUAUGGGAACUGGAUGUCCCAGAUACAGCACCCAGGAUGGCAGCACAUCAUCAGCUUUAAAGGCUUUCAACAUCUAGAUUGUCACUAAUCCUCUUCUGGCAGAGAGCAACAGUCAGCGCUGCUCUGGCAGGGCAGCCGCAGGCUUCCUGCUCGGCUGGCUGGCCUCAGAGCCCGCACCUGACUGGAGUUUCAGCUCCUCCGGCCACAUAGCUGGCACGAAGCCCACCCCCUUCAGCACUCCUGAGAUGCUGUUGUACGGAGUUAUAGGAACCUGCGGCUGAGUAGUCAUUGGUCAGUCGAACUAUUUAUUUAGUGAGCACCAGCUUGUUGCUGGGAAUAUGAGAGGGAGCAAAGCAAACCUAGGCCUCUCAGAGCUUGUAUUAUAUAGGGGAUACAUAAUAAAUGUGUAAAUAUGUA